ACGGGUGCGUAACACGUGAGCAAUCUGCCGGGAAGUGGGGGAUAGCUCGCCGAAAGGCGAAUUAAUACCGCAUAUGGCUAGGAAGAUCAUUCUUCUGACGCCAAAGUAGCAAUACGCUUCCUGAUGAGCUCGCGGCCUAUCAGCUAGAUGGCGGGGUAACGGCCCACCAUGGCUAUGACGGGUAGCUGGUCUGAGAGGACGACCAGCCACACUGGAACUGUGACACGGUCCAGACACCUACGGGUGGCAGCAGUCGAGAAUUUUUCACAAUGGGGGAAACCCUGAUGGAGCGACGCCGCGUGGAGGAUGAAGGCCUUCGGGUCGUAAACUCCUGUCAUGCGGGAACAAGAAAGUGAUAGUACCGCAAGAGGAAGAGACGGCUAACUCUGUGCCAGCAGCCGCGGUAAUACAGAGGUCUCAAGCGUUGUUCGGAUUCAUUGGGCGUAAAGGGUGCGUAGGUGGCGAUGUAAGUCUGGUGUGAAAUCUCGGGGCUCAACCUCGAAAUUGCAUUGGAUACUGCGUUGCUAGAGGAUUGUAGAGGAGAGUGGAAUUCACGGU
rnacentral:rRNA from 1 species